AUUGAACGCUGGCGGCAUGCUUUACACAUGCAAGUCGAACGGCAACAGGUUAAGCUGACGAGUGGCGAACGGGGGAGUAAUGCAUCGGAACGUGCCCAAUCGUGGGGGAUAACGCAGCGAAAGCUGCGCUAAUACCGCAUACGAUCUGCGGAUGAAAGCGGGGGACCGUAAGGCCUCGCGCGAGCGGAGCGGCCGAUGUCAGAUCAGGUAGUUGGUGGGGUAAAGGCUCACCAAGCCAACGAUCCGUAGCUGGUUUGAGAGGACGACCAGCCACACUGGGACUGAGACACGGCCCAGACUCCUACGGGAGGCAGCAGUGGGGAAUUUUGGACAAUGGGCGAAAGCCUGAUCCAGCAAUGCCGCGUGCAGGAAGAAGGCCUUCGGGUUGUAAACUGCUUUUGUACGGAGCGAAAAGGCUCUCUCUAAUACAGGGGGCUCAUGACGGUACCGUAAGAAUAAGCACCGGCUAACUACGUGCCAGCCGCCGCAGUAA
rnacentral:rRNA from 1 species